rnacentral:rRNA from 1 species
UACUGGUUAUCUUGAGUUGUAUUGAAGUAGGCGGAAUAUGUAGUGUAGCGGUGAAAUGCAUAGAUAUUACAUAGAACACCAAUUGCGAAGGCAGCUUACUAAGUACUAACUGACGCUGAUGGACGAAAGCGUGGGUAGCGAACAGGAUUAGAUACCCUGGUAGUCCACGCCGUAAACGAUGGAUACUAGCUGUUCGGGGCCUUGAGUUCUGAGCGGCUAAGCGAAAGUGAUAAGUAUCCCACCUGGGGAGUACGUUCGCAAGAAUGAAACUCAAAGGAAUUGACGGGGGCCCGCACAAGCGGUGGAGCAUGUGGUUUAAUUCGAUGAUACGCGAGGAACCUUACCAGGGCUUAAAUGUAGUCUGACAGCUUUAGAGAUAGAGUUUUCUUCGGACAGAUUACAAGGUGCUGCAUGGUUGUCGUCAGCUCGUGCCGUGAGGUGUCAGGUUAAGUCCUAUAACGAGCGCAACCCCUGUCGUUAGUUGCCAGCAUGUCAUGAUGGGGACUCUAAACGAGACUGCCGGUGCAAACCGCGAGGAAAGGUGGGGAUGACGUCAAAUCAUCACGGCCCUUACGUCCUGGGCCCACACACGUGCUUACAAUGGCCGGGUACAGAGAGCAGCCCACGUUCGCAAGGGCGGAAGGCGAAUCUAUAAAACCCGGGUCACAAGUUUCGGAAUC